rnacentral:rRNA from 1 species
GAUGAACGCUGGCGGCGUGCCUAAUACAUGCAAGUCGAGCGAACAGACGAGGAGCUUGCUCCUUUGACGUUAGCGGCGGACGGGUGAGUAACACGUAGGUAACCUACCUAUAAGACUGGGAUAACUUCGGGAAACCGGAGCUAAUACCGGAUAAUAUUUCGAACCGCAUGGUUCGAUAGUGAAAGAUGGCUUGGCUAUCACUUAUAGAUGGACCUGCGCCGUAUUAGCUAGUUGGUAAGGUAACGGCUUACCAAGGCAACGAUACGUAGCCGACCUGAGAGGGUGAUCGGCCACACUGGAACUGAGACACGGUCCAGACUCCUACGGGAGGCAGCAGUAGGGAAUCUUCCGCAAUGGGCGAAAGCCUGACGGAGCAACGCCGCGUGAGUGAUGAAGGUCUUCGGAUCGUAAAACUCUGUUAUUAGGGAAGAACAAACGUGUAAGUAACUGUGCACGUCUUGACGGUACCUACUCAGAAAGCCACGGCUAACUACGUG